rnacentral:lncRNA from 1 species
ACACAAUUUAUUGUAGAUUAUAACAAUAAAGUAAUUAUUUCACCCUUCUAAAAACACCAACAACCUUCAUAUAAAAAAGGACUUGGUAGUAAUUUUGCUAACCUACACACACAGCUUCAUAUAAAAAGGACUUGUAAAGCUGCUUCUUGAACGUCUUCAGGCACUUUACUACAAAUUGCAACACCACGCCCCCUGACUUGAGACAAAUGCCAUUUGAUCCUCGAAACGGAAGUAGCAGCAGCUAAAUUAAUUCGAUACUUUAUUAAUCUUGUUCACGUUAUGCCGAUGAAAAUUCGCCAUAGUCAAUCUCCGAAGUAGCUCAUUAUCCUGCAUAACCAUUUCCAAACACCUAAACUUAAUUCGAUAUUUUAUUAUAUUUAUAUAAUCAAAGUAUAAAACCAGUAAGCACCUGAACUUAAUUCAAUAUUUUAUUAUAUUAAGGGCAGACUCAUAUCAUACCUAAAACCUUACAAAGGGACGAAGGACAUCCUUCCCGUUAGGAUGCUCCCACUCCACUACUGACUCCCACCAUUCUUUUGGACUUGGAUGGAUUU